CCGAGCACCGCCCCCAGCCACGCUGCAGCGAGACCCCAGAGAGGUCCGGGACCCCGGGGCCCGCAGCUGCUAGACACCAACCACAGCCCAGCGGCCACGAGACCCCAGUACGCAGGGAACCCCACCCCAACCCAGGAGUAGAGAAUACAACCCAGAGCAGAGUACACCCGCUUACAGUGAAAAGAAAAACUUCCAAGUAAA